GAUGAACGCUGGCGGCGUGCCUAAUACAUGCAAGUCGAACGAACAGAUAAGGAGCUUGCUCCUUUGACGUUAGCGGCGGACGGGUGAGUAACACGUGGAUAACCUACCUAUAAGACUGGGAUAACUUCGGGAAACCGGAGCUAAUACCGGAUAACAUAUUGAACCGCAUGGUUCAAUAGUGAAAGGCGGCUUUGCUGUCACUUAUAGAUGGAUCCGCGCCGUAUUAGCUAGUUGGUAAGGUAACGGCUUACCAAGGCAACGAUACGUAGCCGACCUGAGAGGGUGAUCGGCCACACUGGAACUGAGACACGGUCCAGACUCCUACGGGAGGCAGCAGUAGGGAAUCUUCCGCAAUGGGCGAAAGCCUGACGGAGCAACGCCGCGUGAGUGAUGAAGGUCUUCGGAUCGUAAAACUCUGUUAUCAGGGAAGAACAAAUGUGUAAGUAACUGUGCACAUCUUGACGGUACCUGAUCAGAAAGCCACGGCUAACUACGUG
rnacentral:rRNA from 1 species